GAACUCCUCUCUAGAGGGCCGGUCUCGCCGUCUCUGGCCCGGAAACGGACGUUGAGAGCCAGACCCUGCGCGACGGAGCCCUGUGAACCGCGUCAGAUCCGGAAGGAAGCAGCGCUAAGCGGAGUGCUCCGAGUGCCGCAGACCAGCCUGGUUCGAGUACGGUUCCACGGCCAAGCGCGUGGGCUCCCGGUUCGACGAGAGGUGCACGG
rnacentral:SRP_RNA from 1 species